UACGGAGGGGGCUAGCGUUGUUCGGAAUUACUGGGCGUAAAGCGCGCGUAGGCGGACCUGCAAGUCGGGGGUGAAAGCCCGAGGCUCAACCUCGGAACUGCCUUCGAUACUGCGGGUCUCGAGUCCGGGAGAGGUGAGUGGAAUUCCUAGUGUAGAGGUGAAAUUCGUAGAUAUCAGGAGGAACACCGGUGGUGUAGACGGCUCACUGGACCGUAACUGACGCUGAGACACGAAAGCGUGGGUAGCAAACAGG
rnacentral:rRNA from 1 species